ensembl:lncRNA novel transcript
GGGAUAAUAGGAGCGCUUGGCCUCUGAGACUACCCGGCAGAAGGGACGUCCCCAAAUGACACUCGGAGGCCGCCUCCCUGGGCUCCGGUGCUCGGUGCCGGGAGGAGCGGCACGGCUUUCUACCCCGCCUCAGGUGCGCCAGCACGUUUUCUGGGCAGCAUCUGUGUGUUAGGCGACCGGAGAGGUGGGUUCCUUAUAGGGAAUAAGAAAACUGAAACUGACUUCCAACUGCAGGCAGAAGGAAGCAGUGGUCAUUGCUGGAGGUUAAAACUGUUCUGACCGGGCGCAGUGGCUCACGCCUGUAUUCCCAGCACUUUGGGAGGCUGAGGCGAGCAGAUCACGAAGUCAGGAGAUCAAGACCAUCCUGGCCAACAAGGUGAAACCCCGGCUCUACUAAAAAUACAAAAAUUAGCUGGGCGUGGUGGCGCGCGCCGGAAGUCCCAGCUACUUGGGAGGAUGAGGCAGAAGAAUCGCUUGAACCCGGGAGGCGGAGGUUGCGGUGAGCCGAGAUCGCGCCAUUGCACUCCAGCCUGGCGACUCAGCGAUACUCCGUCCCCCUCUCCCCGCCCCAAGAAAAAUCUGUUCAGUGGGGAGCGACAAGGAAGGAGCUUUCAGCCCGACUGGGGUCGCAGGGAAGAAUUCAAGAUGGCGUGUUUAGGAGCUCUAGCUCCUUGACAAAUUAGUAAAAUGUUAGUCUUAGGAGAAGAACGAAAAGGCUCUCCUAGGCUAAGAAACAGCAUACACAGUGAGAAACCUCAGAAGAAAUAAAAUUCAAGGAAGAUAGCAACAACGAAAACAUCAGAAGGAACACUAAAGUAGUCAAAUCAGCCUAGCAGAAACAAAGUACGUUAACCAAUGGAAAACUGACGGAGAGAAAUAAACUGUUUUUGCACAGCUAAAUGGAAAUGACUUUUGAAUUAUCUGCUUUGGAAGAUUAUCCAUGACACUGUUCUGCCCUGCUCUGCUCUAACAACAUUUUGCCUAAGUCCUGAAUGACAACAAAAGACUGAAGAACUGACAACGAUUAGAGGACACUAAGGAGACUUAACAACUAAAUGCAAAAUGGGACCCUGAAUCUGAUCCUGGAACACAAAAACUAAAUUAGUAGAAAAGUGGUAAAAUAGGUGGUCGCGCGCCCGACCGCCGCAGUCCCAGUCGAGCCGCGACCCUUCCGGCUGCCCCCACCCCACCUCGCCGCCAUGUGCCUCCGCCGCCCAGCGCUGUUCCCGGGCGUGGCGCUGCUUCUCGCCGCGGCCCGCCUCGCGGCUGCCUCCGACGUGCUAGGACUCAGGGACGACAACUUGGAGAGUCGCAUCUCCGACACGGGCUCUGCGGGCCUCAUGCUCGUCGAGUUCUUCGCCCCCUGGUGUGGACACUGCAAGAGACUUGCUCCUGAGUAUGAAGCUGCAGCUACCAGAUUAAAAGGAAUAGUCCCAUUAGCAAAGGCUGAUUGCACUGCCAACACUAACACCUGUAAUAAAUAUGGAGUCAGUGGAUAUCCAACCCUGAAUAUGUUUAGAGAUGGUGAAGAAGCAGGUGCUUAUGAUGGACCUAGGACUGCUGAUGGAAUUGUCAGCCACCUGAAGAAGCAGGCAGGCCCAGCUUCAGUGCCUCUCAGGACUGAGGAAGAAUUUAAGAAAUUCAUUAGUGAUAAAGAUGCCUCUAUAGUAGGUUUUUUCGAUGAUUCAUUCAGUGAAGCUCACUCCGAGUUCCUAAAAGCAGCCAGCAACUUGAGGGAUAACUACCGAUUUGCACAUACGAAUGUUGAGUCUCUGGUGAACGAGUAUGAUGAUAACGGAGAUGGUAUCAUCUUAUUUCGUCCUUCACAUCUCACUAACAAGUUGGAGGACAAGACUGUGGCAUAUACAGUGCAAAAAAUGACCAGUGGCAAAAUUAAAAAGUUUAUCCAGGAAAACAUUUUUGGUAUCUGCCCUCACAUGACAGAAGACAAUAAAGAUUUGAUACAGGGCAAGGACUUACUUAUUGCUUACUAUGAUGUGGACUAUGAAAAGAAUGCUAAAGGUUCCAACUACUGGAGAAACAGGGUAAUGAUGGUGGCAAAGAAAUUCCUGGAUGCUGGGCACAAACUCAACUUUGCUGUAGCUAGCCGCAAAACCUUUAGCCAUGAACUUUCUGAUUUUGGCUUGGAGAGCACUGCUGGAGAGAUUCCUGUUGUUGCUAUCAGAACUGCUAAAGGAGAGAAGUUUGUCAU